GGGAAAAAUGGGGUCUUCAAUGACCUCUCUUUUUCUUCCUCUCUUGGUCUUAGUAUUGUAUCUAAGGUUGCCUUUUGAAACCUCAGCUGAUUACGCUUAUUCCUCUCCUCCACCUCCUCCUAAGAAGUACCCACCACCACCCUACCAUUACAAGUCACCACCGCCUCCUCCCAAGGAGGCAUACAAAUACAAGUCUCCUCCUCCUCCUCCCAAGGAGCCAUACAAGUACAAGUCACCACCGCCACCCCCACCGGUCUACAAGUACAAGUCUCCUCCUCCUCCUCCCAAGGAGCCAUACAAAUACAAGUCACCACAGUCACCCCCACCGGUCUACAAGUACAAAUCUCCUCCACCUCCUCCUAAAAAGGCAUACAAAUACAAGUCUCCUCCUCCUCCCCCUCCCAAGGAGCCAUACAAGUACAAGUCACCACCGCCACCUCCACCGGUCUACAAGUACAAGUCUCCUCCUCCUCCCAAUGAGCCAUACAAGUACAAGUCACCACCGCCACCCCCACCGGUCUACAAAUACAAAUCUCCACCCCCACCACCACCCCAUUAUGUCUACUUUUCACCACCACCUCCUCCUCACCACUACUAAGCUACGACUUUGACCGUACUCUAAGGUAACAUACAUUAAAAUCUCUUUUUCCAUCUCGUCAAGGAGAAGAGUGAUUCAAAUAAAGCAACAAAAUAUGGUUUGAACAAAUAUAUAGAGGGUGGUAAGAUGAAAAUGGGGAGCCUAGCCUGGUCUCCACGUCUUAAGUGAAUAAUGUAGACAAAUUUGUAUUUGGCAAUGUAUUGUUCAAUGGAUCCACUUGUUUUUAUUUCUUUCUCUCCGCUUCAUAAUAAAAAUGAAUCCUUAUGUAG